CCGGCGAGGGGAGUGAAAAAGAACCUGAAACCGUGUACGUACAAGCAGUGGGAGCACCCUUUGGGGUGUGACUGCGUACCUUUUGUAUAAUGGGUCAGCGACUUAUAUUCUGUAGCAAGGUUAACCGAAUAGGGGAGCCGAAGGGAAACCGAGUCUUAAUUGGGCGUUAAGUUGCAGGGUAUAGACCCGAAACCCGGUGAUCUAGCCAUGGGCAGGUUGAAGGUUGGGUAACACUAACUGGAGGACCGAACCGAC
rnacentral:rRNA from 1 species